AGGUGCUGGGAGUCCAGGAAGUGCUGAGCAGAUGGAGUCCACGCCCUCGGGGAGACAGAGACCAUCACCCGCCCAGAGUGUGGGGACGAGAGGCUCGGGAAGGUCUGAUCAGCCUUCCGUCUUGAAAGGGACACCCCUGCUUCUGCGUGUCAGGUGCGCCAGUGGAAGUGGGAGGCGGUUGCAGCUUCCAGGCUGUCUCUCGAGUGGCUGUGGAUGCUGACAGAAUGCAUGCCCGCCUCGCCGUCACUGUUCACGCACAGCGCCUGCUGAGGACUCUCCUGUAACCUAAAGGGGUGGUGGAAGGAUGGAGCUUCAGGCCUUGAGGGCCAGAAGAUGAACACGGAAGACUGAAUCCUCAGGGGACCCCAGCUCUGGGCUGGCCCGGGACUGUGUUCUGAGGACGGAAGUGGAAGGAGGUGGCAGCAGGAGCCGGGCCCAAGGCAUCUCCCACACUUCCGAGGUCGAAGGAAAAAAAGAGGAAAAGCUAUCAGCAAUACCGAGGAAACAGCAGGCUAAGGUUGGCAUAGUUCUCAGUAACAUCACGGCAAUUCUCUGAUCCCUCCCUCACCUCUUGCCUACCGUUAAUCCAAAAAUGUCCAACAAAUAAGACAAGACCCGAAAGCACUGAAAACUUUUUCUUGCUGCCAAGUAUAAAACACGGACCCGUAUAGUGGCUUAAAAAAGUAAAUUCCCAGGAACAUUUAUAGAGAUGGAAAAUAGGACAGUGGAAUAGCAGGGGCUGGGGAGGGGAGAAGGAGAGGUGCUGUUGAACAGGUGCAGAGUUUCUGUUUGGGCUCAUGGGAAAGUUCUGGAAAAGAAAGCGUUGACGGUUGCACAACACUGUGAAAUUCAUAAUACCAUUGAAUGCACACUUAAAAAUGGUUAAAAUGGUAAAUUGGGUUAUCAAUGUUUUACCACAGUUAAAGAGUAUUUUUAAAAAAGCAUAGUCCCUCUGGGGUUAGCUGUAGUCAACAUCCAAAUUCCCUAGUGAUGAACUGAAGUAUGGACCAUCAGCAUAAAUGUAAAUUAAAAUUAAGUAUUGCCAGGCAGG